UUAUGUGGCCAUAGCACCUUGAGAAUGUUGAUUGUCGUCUGAUCUUUGAAGCUAAACAGGGUUGGGGCUGGUCAAUACUUCGAUGGGAGGCCACUGCAUUCCAGCGUACUGCAACGG
rnacentral:rRNA from 1 species